CGACCUAACUGCUAUCGGAUUGGUACUAAGCCAUGCGAGUCGUUGUAGCAAUACAAGGCGGACGGCUCAGUAACACGUAGUCAACCUAACCUAUGGACGUGGAUAACCUCGGGAGACUGAGAAUAAACCGCGAUAGAUCAUUAUGCCUGGAAUGGCUUAUGGUCCAAACAAUUUAUUGCCGUAGGAUGGGACUGCGGCCUAUCAGCUUGUUGGUGAGGUAAUGGCCCACCAAGGCUAUAACAGGUACGGGCUCUGAGAGGAGAAGCCCGGAGAUGGGUACUGAGACACGGACCCAGGCCCUAUGGGGCGCAGCAGGCGAGAAACCUUAGCAAUGUGCGAAAGCACGACUAGGUUAAUCCGAGUGAUUCCUGUUGAAGGAAUCUUUUAUCAGUCAUAAAACCACAGAUGAAUAAGGGGUGGGCAAGUCUGGUGUCAGCCGCCGCGGUAAUACCAGCACCUCGAGUGGUCAGGAGGUUUAUUGGGCCUAAAGCAUCCGUAGCCGGCUUUGCAAGUCUCCGGUUAAAUCCAGCUGCUUAACAGAUGGGCUGCCGGAGAUACUAUAAAGCUAGGGAGCGGGAGAGGCAGACGGUAUUCGGUGGGUAGGGGUAAAAUCCACUGAUCCAUCGAGGACCACCAGUGGCGAAGGCGGUCUGCCAGAACGCGUUCGACGGUGAGGGAUGAAAGCUGGGGGAGCAAACCGGAUUAGAUACCCGGGUAGUCCCAGCUGUAAACGAUGCAAACUCGGUGAUGCAUUGGCUUAUGGCCAAUGCAGUGCCGCAGGGAAGCCGUUAAGUUUGCCGCCUGGGAAGUGCGGACGCAAGUCUGAAACUUAAAGGAAUUGGCGGG
rnacentral:rRNA from 1 species